rnacentral:misc_RNA from 1 species
GAUGAAGAACGUAGCGAAAUGCGAUACGUAAUGUGAAUUGCAGAAUUCAGUGAAUCAUCGAAUCUUUGAACGCACAUUGCGCCCUCUGGUAUUCCGGGGGGCAUGCCUGUUCGAGCGUCAUUACAACCCUCAAGCUCUGCUUGGUAUUGGGCUCUGCCGGUCCUGGCAGGCCUCAAAGUCAGUGGCGGUGCCAUCCGGCUCCAAGCGUAGUAAUUCUUCUCGCUUCGGAGGCCGCGGUGCGUGCUAGCCAGCAACCCCCAAUUUUUUUCAGGUUGACCUCGGAUCAGGUAGGGAUACCCGCUGAACUUAAGCAUAUCAAUAAGCGGAGGA